rnacentral:rRNA from 1 species
UACGGCGGAUGCGAGCGUUAUCCGGAUUUAUUGGGUUUAAAGGGUGCGCAGGCGGCCUGUUAAGUCAGCGGUAAAAGCCCGGGGCUCAACCCCGGCGAGCCGUUGAAACUGGCGGGCUGGAGUUGGAGAGAAGUACGCGGAAUGCGCGGUGUAGCGGUGAAAUGCUUAGAUAUACGGAGGAACACCAGUGGCGAAGGCGGCCUGCUGGACAAUAACUGACGCUGAGGCGCGAAAGCGUGGGGAGCAAACAGG